rnacentral:tRNA from 1 species
GCACGGGUAGCUCAGAGGUAGAGCACCGGAUUGAAAAUCCGGGUGUCGGUGGUUCGAUUCCACCUCCGUGCACCA